GGGCGAUUAGCUCAGAUUGGGUUAGAGCGUCGCGUUGACAUCGCGAAGGUCGGAGGUUCGAAUCCUCCAUCGCCCA
rnacentral:tRNA from 1 species